rnacentral:rRNA from 1 species
UGGGGAAUAUUGGACAAUGGGCGAAGGCCUGAUCCAGCCAUGCCGCGUGUGUGAAGAAGGUCUUCGGAUUGUAAAGCACUUUAAGUUGGGAGGAAGGGAACUUACCUAAUACGUGAGUAUUUUGACGUUACCGACAGAAUAAGCACCGGCUAACUCUGUGCCAGCAGCCGCGGUAAUACAGAGGGUGCAAGCGUUAAUCGGAAUUACUGGGCGUAAAGCGCGCGUAGGUGGUUUGUUAAGCUGGAUGUGAAAGCCCCGGGCUCAACCUGGGAACUGCAUCCAAAACUGGCAAGCUAGAGUAUGGUGGAGGGUGGUGGAAUUUCCUGUGUGGCGGUGAAAUGCGUAGAUAUAGGAAGGAACACCAGUGGCGAAGGCGACCACCUGGACUGAUACUGACACUGAGGUGCGAAAGCGUGGGGAGCAAACA